rnacentral:rRNA from 1 species
AUACGUAGGGGGCGAGCGUUGUCCGGAAUGAUUGGGCGUAAAGGGAGCGUAGGCGGCGCGGUAAGUCUGGAGUGAAAGUCCUGCUUUCAAGGUGGGAAUUGCUUUGGAUACUGCCGCGCUUGAGUGCAGGAGAGGGUAUCGGAAUUCCCGGUGUAGCGGUGAAAUGCGUAGAGAUCGGGAGGAACACCAGUGGCGAAGGCGGGUAACUGGACUGCAACUGACGCUGAGGCGCGAAAGUGUGGGGAGCAAACAGGAUUAGAUACCCUGGUAGUCCACACUGUAAACGAUGAAUGCUAGGUGUAAGAGGUAUCGACCCCUUUUGUGCCGGAGUCAACACAAUAAGCAUUCCGCCUGGGGAGUACGGCCGCAAGGUUGAAACUCAAAUGAAUUGACGGGG